AGCGAAUGCUGCAGCGUGGGUUGGACACGGUGCAGUCCAGUAAGACCCGAGUGUUUUCCAGAGCUGUUUUGUCUUCCAGCGGCUUUACGAUGUUCACAGGAAGUUCUGCAAGAAUAUAACCUUGUAAGCUAUAGACUCAACAUUCUUGGCAACAAACUUGAUUUCUCCUGAAUCCUCUUCCUUGACAUUGCACAUAAGAAGGAAGUGCUUGGUGCCUGUGUAACAGGAAUAAAUAUGACUGGAACUACAGGAAUCUUAUUGCAUCAGGUGGCAGUGUUGUACUGAAAGACAGUGGGCAGUGCAUCUACAGCAUGAAGUGUUCACACACCAGCGUGCAGCAGUGUUACAGUUUUAUGACUGUCAAGAUGUUCUUUCCUUACCGUAAACUUCCACAGAGCAGGAAGUGGUGGCAUCUCCGGCAUCGCAUACAUAUAAUCCAGAAUCUCCAAGCUCACAUCUCACAAUCUGCAGGAAGCACUUCCUCCCCAUGGAGUAGAUACGAUGAUUCUUCCCUGGCUUAAGUUCUUCUCCAUUCUAUUUCAGACAAGACCACCACUAAAUUUCAGGCUAUCAAAAUAUUUAAUCCUAUUUAUGACAUGUUAUUUUUAUGAAAGUGAAAUGUAACGUAUGUAAUCAUAUGUGGUUAAGUAAUAUGUGUUUAUAAGGAUAAUGCAUCAUUAGCUCAUCAAAUACUAUUACUACUACUGAUGCUACUAAUAAUGAUGGCAUGUAAAAAAUAAUUGUGAAAGUCUUUUAUUUAUGUAAUUCUGCAGCUUUCUUACCUUUGUCCACUUAAUAGUGACAUUGUAUUUGGACACCUCACACUCCAGUGUGGCUCCUGUACCCUCUGGGAAAGUCCUAUCCUCCAGCUUUUUCAAAAUGGACACCGGUGUUUCUGAACAAAUUGAGUGGAAAAUGGUUUUUAAUUGUAAAGAAAAAACAAAACAAAAAUAAAACAGCACACACGAAGAAAUGAAGGUCCAGUUUCCUCUAAGUUACUUAUGGUAAAAAGUAGCUUAGCAGUUAUGGUGCUGUACUGGUGACUUUAAACGCCCGGAUCACCAGAGAGCCACUCCUGGGACCUGGAAUAAGAGUCAUAACCCUCAUCUGCCAAGCUAUGUGGAUUGGAUUCUCGCUAAGUCUUUCACCUAGGCAGAAUCCAAUCCACAUAGCUUGGCAGAUAGAUGUUAGGGCUCUUUCUUUGAAUUGAAGCAAAUAUAAUUAUUUAAAGAGUUCAUAGUUUAUUUGAUCUAAUAUUAGAGCGACGCAUUGCUUUUCACAGUUUUUUAGGUUGAAGUUUUUCCCCCUGACAUUUAAUAAACAUUUGAUUAGAUAUAACCAGCAUAUAGAAUACUUGGUGUACAUUUAUUGACUGUAGCAUUAUAUUCUUUUGCCACAAACAAAUGAAUUAUUAGAAAUAUGCAAAUAAACUACACUGAUCAUAACUUUAUGACCACCUGUGUUGGUCCCCCUUUUGCUGCCCUGACCCAUCCUGCACUGUAUAUUCUGACACCUUUCUAUCAGAACCAGCAUUAACUUCUUCAGCAAUUUGAGCAACGGUAGUUCGACUGUUGGAUCGGAUCACACGGGCCAGGCUUCUUUCCUCACAAGAAUCAGUGAGCCUUGGCCGCCCAUGACCCUGUCGCCGGUUCACCACUGUUCCUUCCA